GUAGGGGGCAAGCGUUGUCCGGAUUUAUUGGGCGUAAAGCGCGUGUAGGUGGCCAUGUAGGUCCGCUGUGAAAACUUGAGGCUCAACCUCAAGCUGUCGGUGGAAACCACAUGGCUAGAGUCCGGAAGAGGAGAGUGGAAUUCCUGGUGUAGCGGUGAAAUGCGCAGAUAUCAGGAAGAACACCAAUGGCGAAGGCAGCUCUCUGGGACGGUACUGACACUGAGACGCGAAAGCGUGGGGAGCGAACAGGAUUAGAUACCCUGGUAGUCCACGCUGUAAACGAUGGGUGCUAGGUGUGGGCGGUGUCGACUCCGUCCGUGCCGAAGCUAACGCAUUAAGCACCCCGCCUGGGGAGUACGGCCGCAAGGCUA
rnacentral:rRNA from 1 species